GAGGUUGAGGCUCAGUGGUAGAGCGUUUGCCUAGCAUGUGCAAGGGCCUGGGUUCGAUCCUCAGCACCACA
rnacentral:tRNA from 1 species